UGGGGAAUUUUGGACAAUGGGGGAAACCCUGAUCCAGCCAUCCCGCGUGUGCGAUGAAGGCCUUCGGGUUGUAAAGCACUUUUGGCAGGAAAGAAACGUCAUGGGUUAAUACCCCGUGAAACUGACGGUACCUGCAGAAUAAGCACCGGCUAACUACGUGCCAGCAGCCGCGGUAAUACGUAGGGUGCAAGCGUUAAUCGGAAUUACUGGGCGUAAAGCGUGCGCAGGCGGUUCGGAAAGAAAGAUGUGAAAUCCCAGAGCUCAACUUUGGAACUGCAUUUUUAACUACCGGGCUAGAGUGUGUCAGAGGGAGGUGGAAUUCCGCGUGUAGCAGUUAAAUGCGUAGAUAUGCGGAGGAACACCGAUGGCGAAGGCAGCCUCCUGGGAUAACACUGACGCUCAUGCACGAAAGCGUGGGGAGCAAACAGG
rnacentral:rRNA from 1 species